ACAGGUGGUGCAUGGUUGUCGUCAGCUCGUGUCGUGAGAUGUUGGGUUAAUUCCCGCAACGAGCGCAACCCUUGUUUUUAUUACCCACCAUUUUAGGGGGGCCCUUUGAAAAAAAUGCCCGGGAAAACCGGGAAGAAGGGGGGGAAGAACUCAAAUCCUCCUGCCCCUUUAGAUCUGGGCUACCCCCCUGCUACAAUGGGGGGGAAAAAGGGAAGCAAAACCCGGAUGGCGAACAAACCCCAAAAAAGCCGUCUCAUUUCGGAUUGUAGUCUGCAACUCCCCUACAUGAAGCUGGAAUCGCUAGUAAUCGGGAAUCAAAACGCCCCGGUAAAUACUUUCCCGGGUUUUGUACACACCG
rnacentral:rRNA from 1 species